UACGUAGGGUGCAAGCGUUAUCCGGAUUCACUGGGUUUAAAGGGUGCGUAGGUGGUCUGUUAAGUCAGCGGUGAAAGCCUGGAGCUCAACUCCAGAAUUGCCAUUGAUACUGACGGACUUGAAUCAAGUUGAGGUGGAUGGAAUAUUACAUGUAGCGGUGAAAUGCUUAGAUAUGUAAUAGAACACCGAUUGCGAAGGCAGUUCACUAAGCUUGCAUUGACACUGAGGCACGAAAGCGUGGGGAUCAAACAGG
rnacentral:rRNA from 1 species